CAGUAGCCGCGGUAAAACGUAGGUGGCAAGCGUUGUCCGGAUUUAUUGGGCGUAAAGCGAGCGCAGGCGGUCAAUUAAGUCCGAUGUGAAAGCCCCCGGCUCAACCGGGGAGGGUCAUUGGAAACUGGUUGACUUGAGUGCAGAAGAGGAGAGUGGAAUUCCAUGUGUAGCGGUGAAAUGCGUAGAUAUAUGGAGGAACACCAGUGGCGAAGGCGACUCUCUGGUCUGUAACUGACGCUGAGGCGCGAAAGCGUGGGGAGCAAACAGGAUUAGAUACCCGUGUAGUCCCUGUCUCUUAUAC
rnacentral:rRNA from 1 species